AACGAACGCUGGCGGCAUGCCUAACACAUGCAAGUCGAACGAGACCUUCGGGUCUAGUGGCGCACGGGUGCGUAACGCGUGGGAACCUGCCCUUAGGUUCGGAAUAACUCCCCGAAAGGGGUGCUAAUACCGGAUAAUGUCUUCGGACCAAAGAUUUAUCGCCUUUGGAUGGGCCCGCGUUGGAUUAGCUAGUUGGUAGGGUAAAAGCCUACCACGGCGACGAUCCAUAGCUGGUCUGAGAGGAUGAUCAGCCACACUGGGACUGAGACACGGCCCAGACUCCUACGGGAGGCAGCAGUGGGGAAUAUUGGACAAUGGGCGAAAGCCUGAUCCAGCAAUGCCGCGUGAGUGAUGAAGGCCUUAGGGUUGUAAAGCUCUCUUACCCGGGAUGAUAAUGACAGUACCGGGAGAAUAAGCUCCGGCUAACUCCGUG
rnacentral:rRNA from 1 species